UACUGGUCUGGUUCUACUCCUUUAACCUAAUCACACUGCCAUUCUGAUCAUAACCAUACUGUUCUGGUUCUACUCCUUUAACCUAGUCACACUGUCGUUCUGAUCCUAACCAUACUGGUCUGGUUCUACUCCUUUAACCUAGUCACACUGUCGUUCUGAUCCUAACCAUACUGGUCUGGUUCUACUCCUUUAACCUAAUCACACUGCCAUUCUGAUCAUAACCAUACUGUUCUGGUUCUACUCCUUUAACCUAGUCACACUGUUGUUCUGAUCCUAACCAUCUAACCAUUCUUAUCACCUUGUCCUUUGCAGGCCAGUUCAGCUUGGCUUAGAUCGACUCUGUAGUGUGAAAAGGACAGUUUUUUCAUCCUUGCCUUGUUACCAGAGAUUGAUUUGUCGCUGGGAAACGAGGUGUGUGCACACGUCAGCCAAUCAUUAGUUGAUCAUAAGAACCAGGGAGAAACACUAACCUAGCAGGACUGUGGACGUCGAGGGCCUGAGUUUAUGCACCCUUGAUCAAGACAAUCAACUGUUACUGUAUUUCUCAGUGUUGAGUUUAUCCAGGUCAACUGUUACUGUAUUUCUCAGUGUUGAGUUUAUCCAGGUCAACUGUUACUGUAUUUCUCAGUGUUGAGUUUACCCUGGUCAACUGGCUAACUCAUUGAUCCUGCCUGGUGAGUUUACCACCCAGCUCUGCCCAUUCAUGUCAUUAGAUAUAAACUGGGAUUUCUGAGUGCUCUGCACAGCUAUAACCAUCAAAGCAAAGCUAGUAGCUGCAACGGAGACUGCAGAGAGAACAGAAUCCUCCACAGUUACAACUGGGAUGUAGACUUCACAAUGAUUGUACAAACAUCAUCAUGGCAACACAGCGUGACUUAGGCCUUAUUAGUAACUGUAAUGAAAUAACAAAUGGAAUGAUUUAAUACCAGACAUGAACCCAGUUACAGUCCACUUCCACUGCUUUUCCAUUUCAAUCGUGUUUGAAAUUACUAUUUGAAAAAAAUACACAUUCUAAUUCAUAUGAAAAAGGGAAUCUAAAAGUAGUGACAUUUCCAAAACUUGUUUACGACCCUGUUAUUACAUGGUAAUUACACAGCUUAUUUCAGUGGUUGUUAAUAUGGUUUAACAAGGCGAAGCCUAUGACGUCAAGUGUGGCCAGAAACCUUACUGUACUAGAAGGAUUGGUACACUUGUAGUCCCGCAGUCAAACACACUCCAGGUCAGGGGUGGGCAAGUCCAUUCCUCCAGGGCCUGAUUGGUGUCACACUUUUUCUCCAUCCCCAGCUAAAACACCUGACUCCAAUAUCAUGAUCUUCAGUUUAGAAUGUUAUUAGUUUAAUCAGCCGUGUUUGCUAGGUGUGGGUGAAAAGUGUGACACCAUCCCUGCUCCAGGGGACUGGAGUUGCCCAUCCCUGCUCCAGGGGACUGGAGUUGCCCAUCCCUGCUCCAGGGGAAUAGAGUUGCCCAUCCCUGCUCCAGGGGAAUGGAGUUGCCCAUUCAUGCUCCAGGGGAAUGGAGUUGCCCAUCCCUGCUCCAGGGGAAUGGAGUUGCCCAUCCCUGCUCCAGGGGAAUGGAGGGGAAUGGAGUUGCCCAUCCCUGCUCCAGGGGAAUGGAGUUGCCCAUCCCUGCUCCAGGGGAAUGGAGUUGCCCUCCAGGGGACUGGAGUUGCCCAUCCCUGCUCCAGGGGAAUAGAGUUGCCCAUCCCUGCUCCAGGGGACUAGAGUUGCCCAUCCCUGCUCCCUCCAGGGGAGUUGCCCAUCCCUGCUCCAGGGGAAUAGAGUUGCCCAUCCCUGCUCCAGGGGAAUAGAGUUGCCCAUCCCUGCUCCAGGGGAAUGGAGUUGCCCAUCCCUGCUCCAGGGGAAUGGAGUGCCCAUCCCUGCCCAUCCCUGCUCCAGGGGAAUGGAGUUGCC
ensembl:lncRNA